rnacentral:rRNA from 1 species
UACGUAGGGGGCAAGCGUUGUCCGGAAUCAUUGGGCGUAAAGAGCGCGUAGGCGGCCCGAUAAGUCCGCUGUGAAAAGUCAAGGGCUUAACCCUUGAAUGCCGGUGGAAACUGUCGGGCUAGAGUCCGGAAGAGGAGAGUGGAAUUCCCGGUGUAGCGGUGAAAUGCGCAGAGUAUCGGGAAGAACACCCGUGGCGAAGGCGGCUCUCUGGGGACGGUACUGACGCUGAGGUGCGAAAGCGUGGGGAGCAAACAGG